rnacentral:rRNA from 1 species
AUCCAGACUCCUACGGGAGGCAGCAGUGGGGAAUCUUCCGCAAUGGGCGAAAGCCUGACGGAGCAACGCCGCGUGAUCGAAUGAAGGCCUUCGGGUUGUAAAGAUCUGUUGACAGGGACGAAUAAGCAAUGCGAAUAGUUUUGUGUAUGACGGUACCUGUUUAGAAAGCUCCGGCUAACUACGGGCCAGCAGCGGCGGUAAUACGUAGGGAGCAAGCGUUAUCCGGAUUUACUGGGUGUAAAGGGGGCGCAGGUGGCAGGGCAAGUCAGAUGUGAAAGCCCGGGGCCCAACCCCGGUAUUGCUUUUGAAACUGUCGGGCUAGAGUGCAGGAGAGGUAAGCGGAAUUCCUAGUGUAGCGGUGAAAUGCGUAGAUAUUAGGAGGAACACCAGUGGCGAAGGCGGCUUACUGGACUGUAACUGACGCUGAGGCUCGAAAGCGUGGGGAGCAAACAGGAUUAGAUACCCGAGUAC